CCGAUAAUUUUAGUCUUGCCAAUUUGGAUUAAAAUUUUGAUACCCUUCAUCACUCAAAUCGAUGCAAUUGCCCAAACCCUAGUUCCUCACAUGUUUUACUCCUUCAUGCUGUUUUCGUCUCUGCCGCCCACGACCACCUGCAAAUUGGGUAAAGCCCAUUCCUACUCCCUCCUGCGAUUUCCAUCUCUUUCGUUUUUUUGAGGCGACAGCGUCAAGGUCAGAGGUUUGAAGGUGCGUUGGGGGCUCGUCGUUGGGGGCUCGUGAAUCGUCUUCUAUUUUCAGAAACUGACGUUGAAGCUGUGGAAUGGAGGCUGCCGAGUUCGCCUUGCUCGUCGAUCGCAACGGUGCCGAUAAUUGAUUUUACAGUUCUGGAAAAAUGGCUGAAGCUAUGGCUGCCGAGAACUGAGGAUGUAGUUCUGGAGAUAUGGCUGCCGAGCGGCUGUUUGUAUUCCUUGCGCAGAAAGUGAAAGGCCCAACGAUUUGUAUUCUGUGGAAUGGGCUUUCAUGAGGGAUACCCAUGGUAUUUUGUAAAAUAUAUGAGGAUACUUUUGGAAUUAAAAAAUAUAAUCCUACUUAAACA